CCGCUACCGCUGCGGGUCCUGGAGCGGCCCGGAGCGCACCGGAGCGCUCGGCUCCCUCCUGCAACAUCCCGUAGGCUUCCCAACCGCUCAGCUCCAUCCCCAGCCCCGCUCUUUGGAGUGAACGCGCUGCGUCCCGCUCGCCCUCUCAUCCCCAGCCCCGCGAGGUGCGCCUUCCCCACCAUCCCGAAGCGGCGGCCGCCCGGCUUCCCUUCUCCGUCCCAUCGGCGCUGUUGUGUUGUGAUGGUAAUUUCAUCAACGGCUUAUGUAAGGGUUGGAUAACACAAACACCACAACAUAUGGUUCGUGCGAGAUAGCAACGUGCGCUCCAUAAAGCGUUACAAUGACUUGUGUGAUAUUCCCGGUACAGUCUGUGGAUGAUUUACAGCCUUCCCAAGCUGUCACAAAUAGCGUCACGUCCCCUGUGAUUCGAGCAAAAGUUUGCUAAUUUGAUCAACAAAAUGGAUUAUUUGGCCACAGAGGGAAAUCUAAGGAUAUUACUGGAGGAAGCUGUGGACUUGCAUCUGCAUUCCGCUCAAAGCUGAUCUUCUGAGCAUUGAGUGGCUUUAGAGCAGAGCUCUGUGACAGGUUGGUUUGUGAAGGUUUGGCCUGCGAUGGCCCUGGGCACCACCAAACCUCGCCUGUAAGGCCCCAAUGUCCCUGGAGCACUGCAGCAUCCUGGUGCUGCGUGGGCAGCAAUCCGAGCAGGCAGUGCUGAGCAAAGGAUAGGAAACGUCGGGGAAAGGAGAGUGUUUCUCAAACCCCACCUUCUUCCGGAUGGAUUUUGAGGUGGGCAUUCCCAUUGCAGACUGAGGUGACGCUUUCCUAACAGAUGGCACUGGUGCGCUCACCCGGCGGCACAUCGGAGGUAGAUGGGUUGGGUGGGAUGUGGCAGGCCUAAGUGUGGGCUCCCCUCCCCAGGGCACAGCCCAGCUGUUGUCACCCACCCGCUGGGGAGAUGCUCUGCACUCCUGUGGUCGCAUCACAUCCUUUGAACUAACGCUGUGGGGAGGAAGCACAAGGAAAUGCAGACCUGCAGCCUUCAGGCACUGACUUUUUACCCCUUGCGUGUCUGAUGGGAUGCAGCCACUGUGUGUGCUUUGCUCCGGAACCCGUAAGCUUGCAAGGGCAACUGAGUCUCAGAGCAUGUUUUCCAAAGGCAGCCUCUCCCACGUGACAGGCAUGUGAAAGAGGACCACCACCAAAGUGCUGGGUGCAGGUCCAGAGGCUGCUCUAACUCGGGGGCAAGCUUGAUGUGUGCAGAAGUAUGCUCUCCUUUCACAAAAUGACCCUUGCGGUGGGAUAAAUAUUAAGUGUACUUUGGUGCUGGAGGCAUGACCUCUGUUGUACAGCUCCUCCAAAGCUGUUCUGGAGAAAAGCGUCAGCCCACCUCGUGCACACUUCUGUCCAGGUGUGUUUUAGCACUUGAUUUGACAGUGUGAUGCCUGCAGCCAGGGGUGCUCGUGGGAAUGGUUGAGCUUAUUGAACCGCCUUGCGUCCAAAUUAGAGGGGCUGGGAAAACCUGUUCUGUGUUUUGAUUGUUAUUUAGCUUUGAAAAUAUUUAUUUUACUGUUUAUUGUUAUUUAAAUUACUAACCCAGCUCUGACGUUUGCAGUGUGCAUAUCCGUGCCCAUCAGCCCCACUGCCUCCGCAGACCUCCACAGAUGCCUCUGUGCUAACAGAAACGAGCUGCCCUGUGGGUGCCGUGUAUGUAUGUGCUGUCCUAUCCAACAGCGUUAUUGAAGGGGGAUUAAAACAUCCCUUCCUUUGCACAAAAUAAUGAACUCAUUUUGAGAAAGCACCGUGCAACAUGACUUUCUCGGUCAAAAGUGAAGCUGUUUUUGUUAAUGAGCAGGGCACCAGAGUACAGAGAUAAUUGGCAUGUUAGAAAUACCAGGCUCUCUAGACCUAUUUAUAUGUUUAGUAUAAAUAUAAAUGAAUGUUUACAACCUAAGGUGAAUGUUCUUUUCCAGUUCCUUGCAUCCUUUUGAUCUGUGCUUAGCAAGGCUUUCGGUGACUCCGUGUGCUACAGGAUGCUCCCAUUUGCUGGAGGUUAUGUGGAAAUGUUAAACAAAUUGACUUUGCUGGUUGAAACUUUUUUUCUUUGAUGGUGAGCAGUGGUGGACUAGAGGAAAUAGCAAAGUUGAAAGGAAAACCAAAAAUACAUAUUCUGGAAACUUGCUUCUGUGACUGUUUUUUAAAUCAUUUUCCUCUCCAAUUUCACUUCCAACCAACCAGCUCUACCCAAGUGCAAGCAAAUGCUUUUAUUUCAGAGGUCAUGGGCUUAUGUAAGUGGUUGGACGACAAGUGGUAACAGGAGUGGUAGAGCAUGAUAGCUUUUUCACCCAGUGCACAAAGAGCUGGAAGAGAGACUCAUCAGCUGUGGGUGUUUGGAGACAGUGAGGAACUUGGGGUGACACAGGUGAGUGGAGACACUGGGUUUGAAGACAUCGGGGAGGGUGGAGGGAGCUUGGACAAAAAGUGAAAGCGCAGCAAUUUGCCACUCUGAGAAAUGAGCCUGUAAAAAUGGUGCCUCUGCUUUCAUAGGAAAGUGAACCCAAGUACGGAAGCCUGACGCUGUCGUGGUUUUCACAUCUGCUGUCUUGGUUUUAGUAUAGUCAGUGCAAAGUCCUGUUGCAACGCAAGGGUGAAGAGCAAGCGUGGAAGGCCACAGAAGCUGAAGCUGUGCUGCUGGAUGACUUGCCUCCUCCAACUGAAAAACGUCGCUCCGUAGAGUUGAAAACUUUGCCUGGAGCUUUAGUCAGAGACGGGAUUUGUAUUGAAUUGAGAGUUAACUCUGUGAGACCAACUGGUCCUGAGUCACCAACGUACGUGCCAACAGUAGCCAGUGAACGUAAAACCAAAUUCUCGCAUGGUGAUUAUAAAGUGGGAGAGAUUUGUGAUUGCCUGACAUUACGGUUGGAGCAGCGUGAGCAAGAGCCCGUGUGUAACUGCCAGGAUGAGCAGAAGCGGAUACCCACAGCGAAGCUUCACGAGGAAUAAAGCACAUCUGAUGCAGGACACAGCAGUGCUUUCUCUUGUGCUGGAGGAUGGGUGCUCAGGCAGGACAGAGUGCCAGAGGAACAACAUCUCUGCUCUGACUCCUUCUGACAGGACUGAUGGAGCUGGUGAAUUUUCUGGCGAAUUAAACUCCAUGAGAGCUUCUGCCUGGAAGCCAUCAUCCUGCCUCUGUACUUGCCUCCAUUCAUGAACACACGCAGAGGAAAAGAACAGCGAUGAUUCGAGGCAGCAGGAUCCUCAUUGACUUGAGAUCAUCAUUUUCUUGAAGGCAGGGGGUAAUGGCUGGCUGUCACCCACACGAUUAUAUCCUCACGCUGUUCCUGGACUGACCUGAAAUGAAACCUCCAAUGCCAGCAGGGAAAAAUCCCAGGGUAGGGGAGGCUGGGAUGCCUGUGCCCCACCAGCCUUUCUGUGCCCGUGCUGCCAACCUGGAAGAGGUUUGUGGAGCCUUUGUGUUCGUUGUGAUGUUUUUGCUGUUAGGUCCAGAAUGUGGGGAUUGAGAUUGUUGCCCCGUGCUGCAGAUCCCUCACCAAAAUCAUAGCUGAGCGUUCCCUGUGCUUCUGAAGGUAUAAUGGAAAAGCUUUACAGCACAGCCCUUAUUUCCAAGAUGUGCCCGUAGUUUGGUUAAAAAAAACUGUUGGAUUCUCAAGCUUAUUUUAUGCUGGCGUUAAAAACAUGUGUUCUUCCAGGAACGCAACAUGAAUGAAUGUGAGCUCUAAAUUAUGCUGACCUUUCAAUUAGAAAUUUUCCACCACCUAUCAUUCCAGGACAAAUAUUGAUUGAACAGUCCAUGUGUGUGUGUGAAGCGCAGCCUGACAGCCGGCGUGACCUUCCUCUUCUGUGCCUGAUUGCCAAUGGUGGCUUUAAGCUUCCUUUUGUACCAAAACCUCGUUUCAUAACUGAAACUCCCUGCUCUUUGGAACCUGAGUUUCUUCGUUUGUUUGCUCAGCGAGCUGAGAUCUGUUGGGAUAUUUCUCUGUUUGAUUUGGUUGUUAGCUUUGUUGCCGUCCGAAAUGGCCCAGGGCUGCUUUGUUCAAGGCCAUUUUUCUGGAAGGGUUUUGUUCUGCACAAGUUUGCGGGUAUCACCCGUGUGAUUUCUGCCCCAUUGUGUGCUGCUCGCCCGCUCAGGGCCAUAUUGUGAUUGCAUGUGUGCUUGGCUCCGCAGCUCUCAGCAUCCACUGAGCAUGGGAAAAUGUCUUUCCGCCGGGAGAUUUCAUCACUGAAUUUUCAUAUCUCCAAAUCCUAUAGAAUUUUUUUUUUUUUUUUUUUUUUUGAGGUUACAAGAGAUCAAUUUCCAUAAACCAAAGAAUUAUAGGAUGGCUUAGUUUGAAAGGGACCUUUAAGGUCAUCUAGCUCCAACCCCUGAAUGCUCUUAAAAAUAUGAAUGAAGGACAGCGUUAGCCUUCCCCAGACUGUCCUGGUUUUGGGGCAGAAACAAAGACGUAUCUUCAUGUUUCAAUGUAGCAGGUUUCUCCAACGGUGGAUUCUCCAAAGGAUGGAUUUGGUCCCCAGCAAGUACUUUGCAGCAGUGCGAUCUGCUUUUGCGGGGAGAGUCAGCACAAAGCCACCCUGCACUCCCCAUAACAUCGAUGAACGGGGUGAGUUUUAUUCAAUAGGCCUCAGUCUUUUUAAUAAAAGCACCAGUUUGUAUUACAGAGUCACAGAAUUGCAGGGGUUGGAAGGGACCUCUUAGAUCGUUGAGUCCAACUCUCUCUAAAGGAGGUUCCCUAUAGUAGGUCGCACGGGUAGGCAUCCACAGAAGAAGACUCCACAACCUCUCUGAGCAGCCUGUUGCAGUGCUCCAUCACUCAGACAGUAACCGAUUUCUUCCUUGUGUUAGUAUUGAACUACCCGUGUUUCAGUUUCUGCCCGUUGCCCCAUGUUCUACUGCUGCACACCACCCUCAUCAACAUGGCUCCCGCACUGUAGGUAUUUAUAUAUAGUUAUGAGAUCCCCUCACAGCCUUCUCUUCUCCAGACUGAAGAGUCCCAGGUCUUUAGGUAUCUUAGCCUAGAGCCCCCUGGAUUCUGCCCAGGGGAAAGAUGGGGGUGGGAGCUGAGGCCUGGAUGCAUUUGUCUCUCAUUCGUGCCUUCACCAAAGCUGCUGAUGUGCAGGCCUCCAGCUCCCACCAAGGGCACACACACCCACAGAGCACGCAGUGCUGCCCUCUGACCCCUGUCAGGAACGUUACUUCUUCUCAUGGUUAUGAAAGAUACUCAUACUGCUUUCUUCUGAGAUUAUGGUUUGUACUUCUAUAUAUAAUGCAUAUACAUACAUAAAAUGUAAACACAUGCGCACACUAUAUAUAUGCACACUAUAUGUAUAUAUAUAUCCCUUCCUCCCAUCCCAUUUCCUUCUCUUCUCACAGCCCAAACGUUCCCAGUGAGAGGACGGCAGAUUUCCAUCACAAAUGCUUUUCCCCUGACUGUUUUUUGUUUUCUAAGCCUGUGACAUGAAAGCAGACAUAAUAUUUUCAUUUUGGUUCUCUAUAAAUAAACAGAAAUCUCAUUUCCA
ensembl:lncRNA